UUCGGCGCGGUCUGCGAGUCGGGCGUGAAACGGGGUUCCAGAGGUUGAUCCCCGCCCCUGCCGCCGCUUGCCCCGCGCUGCAGUUUCUCGGGGACGAGAAUAGCGGCGUGAAGAAGGCCGGUUCGUCUGAUUGGCGACGAUGAGAUGAGAUGGGUGUAAAGUGCUCAACAUAGUGUCUAGAGCAUAAUGUUCUUCCCAGUCAGCAGUUACCAGUAUGACAAAGGAAAAGCUGUCUGACCUCAAAGAAAGUGUAGCAGAAGAUUUUUAAAAAGGAAGGCUUUGCUCCAAAUGAACAAAGUUUCCCAGAAGAAAAAACAAUCUAAAAAGCUUCUCCACCACCUGUCCUGGUUUACAUGAGAUUCUGAGGGCAACAGGAAACUCCAGCAAGGGGCCACCUGCCUUGUGAAAAUGUCACUCCUUACGUCUCCUAGAUGGGAAGCCUGGGCCAUCCAGGCUCUGGCACCAAGCCUUCUGUGUCCGUCCUCGUGGCAGGCACAUUCAGGCUGAAUCUGAAAGUGGGCAAAAUCAGUAGAAGAACAGAGCUGACAGGAGCUGAUUCCUCAAUAAAAGGAUUACUG